rnacentral:rRNA from 1 species
ACGAGGAGCUUGCUCCUCUGAUCAGUGGCGAACGGGUGAGUAACACGUGAGCAACCUGCCCCAGACUCUGGGAUAACAGUUGGAAACAGCUGCUAAUACCGGAUACGAGACGGAGAGGCAUCUCUACCGUCUGGAAAGUUUUUCGGUCUGGGAUGGACUCGCGGCCUAUCAGCUAGUUGGUGAGGUAAUGGCUCACCAAGGCGACGACGGGUAGCCGGCCUGAGAGGGCGACCGGCCACACUGGGACUGAGACACGGCCCAGACUCCUACGGGAGGCAGCAGUGGGGAAUAUUGCACAAUGGGCGAAAGCCUGAUGCAGCGACGCCGCGUGAGGGAUGACGGCCUUCGGGUUGUAAACCUCUUUCAGCAGGGAAGAAGCGAAAGUGACGGUACCUGCAAAAGAAGCACCGGCUAACUACGUGCCAGCAGCCGCGGUAAUACGUAGGGUGCGAGCGUUGUCCGGAAUUAUUGGGCGUAAAGAGCUUGUAGGCGGUUUGUCGCGUCCGCAGUGAAAAUCCGAGGCUCAACCUCGGACUUGCUGUGGGUACGGGCAGACUAGAGUAUGGUAGGGGAGACCGGAAUUCCUGGUG